rnacentral:rRNA from 1 species
CCUACGGGAGGCAGCAGUAGGGAAUCUUCCGCAAUGGGCGAAAGCCUGACGGAGCAACGCCGCGUGAGUGAUGAAGGCCUUCGGGUUGUAAAACUCUGUCUUCUGUGAAGAACCAUCCUGUGCAGGGAAAGCUCAGGACCUGACGGUAACAGAGGAGGAAGCCCCGGCUAACUACGUGCCAGCAGCCGCGGUAAUACGUAGGGGGCAAGCGUUGUCCGGAAUCACUGGGCGUAAAGCGCGCGCAGGCGGUCUUUCACGUCCGGGGUUGAAAAGCCCAGAGCUCAACUCUGGGAGUGCUG